GUCGAACGGUAACAGGAAGCAGCUUGCUGCUUCGCUGACGAGUGGCGGACGGGUGAGUAAUGUCUGGGAAACUGCCUGAUGGAGGGGGAUAACUACUGGAAACGGUAGCUAAUACCGCAUAACGUCGCAAGACCAAAGAGGGGGACCUUCGGGCCUCUUGCCAUCGGAUGUGCCCAGAUGGGAUUAGCUAGUAGGUGGGGUAACGGCUCACCUAGGCGACGAUCCCUAGCUGGUCUGAGAGGAUGACCAGCCACACUGGAACUGAGACACGGUCCAGACUCCUACGGGAGGCAGCAGUGGGGAAUAUUGCACAAUGGGCGCAAGCCUGAUGCAGCCAUGCCGCGUGUAUGAAGAAGGCCUUCGGGUUGUAAAGUACUUUCAGCGGGGAGGAAGGCGACAGGGUUAAUAACCCUGUCGAUUGACGUUACCCGCAGAAGAAGCACCGGCUAACUCCGUGCCAGCAGCCGCGGUAAUACGGAGGGUGCAAGCGUUAAUCGGAAUUACUGGGCGUAAAGCGCACGCAGGCGGUCUGUCAAGUCGGAUGUGAAAUCCCCGGGCUCAACCUGGGAACUGCAUUCGAAACUGGCAGGCUAGAGUCUUGUAGAGGGGGGUAGAAUUCCAGGUGUAGCGGUGAAAUGCGUAGAGAUCUGGAGGAAUACCGGUGGCGAAGGCGGCCCCCUGGACAAAGACUGACGCUCAGGUGCGAAAGCGUGGGGAGCAAACAGGAUUAG
rnacentral:rRNA from 1 species